rnacentral:rRNA from 1 species
GAGGACUUAGUGACGCAGCUAACGCAAUAAGUAGACCGCUGGGGAGUACGGCCGCAAGGUUAAAACUCAAAUGAAUUGACGGGGGCCCGCACAAGCGGUGGAGCAUGUGGUUUAAUUCGAUGCAACGCGAAGAACCUUACCUGGUCUUGACAUAUCUAGAAUCCUGCAGAGAUGCGGGAGUGCCUUCGGGAAUUAGAAUACAGGUGCUGCAUGGCUGUCGUCAGCUCGUGUCGUGAGAUGUUGGGUUAAGUCCCGCAACGAGCGCAACCCUUGUCCUUAGUUACCAGCGGGUUAAGCCGGGAACUCUAAGGAUACUGCCAGUGACAAACUGGAGGAAGGCGGGGACGACGUCAAGUCAUCAUGGCCCUUACGACCAGGGCUACACACGUGCUACAAUGGUAGGUACAGAGGGCAGCUACACAGCGAUGUGAUGCGAAUCUCAAAAAGCCUAUCGUAGUCCAGAUUGGAGUCUGCAACUCGACUCCAUGAAGUAGGAAUCGCUAGUAAUCGCGGAUCAGAAUGCCGCGGUGAAUACGUUCCCGGGCCUUGUACACACCGCCCGUCACACCAUGGGAGUUGAUUGCACCAGAAGUGGA